rnacentral:rRNA from 1 species
UGUCUAAGUAUAAGCAAUUAUACAGCGAAACUGCGAAUGGCUCAUUAUAUAAGUUAUCGUUUAUUUGAUAAUACUUUACUACUUGGAUAACCGUGGUAAUUCUAGAGCUAAUACAUGCUAAAAAUCCCGACUUCGGAAGGGUUGUAUUUAUUAGAUUAAAAACCAAUCCCGCUCGGGGCUCUCUGGUGAAUCAUGAUAACUAGUCGAAUCGAUAGGCCUUGUGCCGGCGAUGGCUCAUUCAAAUUUCUUCCCUAUCAACUUUCGAUGUUUGGGUAUUGGCCAAACAUGGUGGCAACGGGUAACGGAGGGUUAGGGCUCGACCCCGGAGAAGGAGCCUGAGAAACGGCUACUACAUCCAAGGAAGGCAGCAGGCGCGCAAAUUACCCAAUCCCGACACGGGGAGGUAGUGACAAUAAAUACUGAUACAGGGCUCUUUUGGGUCUUGUAAUCGGAAUGAGUACAAUUUAAAUCCCUUAACGAGGAACAAUUGGAGGGCAAGUCUGGUGCCAGCAGCCGCGGUAAUUCCAGCUCCAAUAGCGUAUAUUAAAGUUGUUGUGGUUAAAAAGCUCGUAGUUGAACCUUGGGCCUGGCUGGCCGGUCCGCCUCACCGCGUGCACUGGUCCGGCCGGGCCUUUCCCUCUGCGGAACCCCAUGCCCUUCACUGGGUGUGUCGGGGAAACAGGACUUUUACUUUGAAAAAAUUAGAGUGCUCAAAGCAGGCCUAUGCUCGAAUACAUUAGCAUGGAAUAAUAGAAUAGGACGUGUGGUUCUAUUUUGUUGGUUUCUAGGACCGCCGUAAUGAUUAAUAGGGACAGUCGGGGGCAUCAGUAUUCAAUUGUCAGAGGUGAAAUUCUUGGAUUUAUUGAAGACUAACUACUGCGAAAGCAUUUGCCAAGGAUGUUUUCAUUAAUCAGGAACGAAAGUUAGGGGAUCGAAGACGANCAGAUACCGUCGUAGUCUUANNNAUAAACUAUNCCGACUAGGGAUCGGAC